AAAUUUGCAAAAUUAAAAAAAUAAUGCUAUAGUUGCUUUGUCUUCUGACUAUGAUAAUAAGAGCUGUACGUAAUAGGUGCAAUGGACUCGGGGGCGGUACCCGACACCUCCACCGCUGACAAUCUGUCGAGGGGGUGAACUAGCUUUGACAUUCUCUGAAAGGUAUAAGUUUUAUCCAGCGAGACUCGGCUGCCACGGAAGUGGGAAUAGUUCAAAAACUUAAAUGCAAAGAAAAACUUUGCUAAUGUUGCAAUGGCUGCUUAGUCUUCGGACUAUAUUUCAUUAGAAAUAUUUUCACUUAGUUGUGAUGAGCCUUUGUGACGGGGCCCGGGGGAGCCUGUCAACAGAAUCUCCCACC
rnacentral:tmRNA from 1 species